rnacentral:rRNA from 1 species
AUUGAACGCUGGCGGCGUGCCUAAUACAUGCAAGUCGAGCGAACAGAUAAGGAGCUUGCUCCUUUGACGUUAGCGGCGGACGGGUGAGUAACACGUGGGUAACCUACCUAUAAGACUGGGAUAACUUCGGGAAACCGGAGCUAAUACCGGAUAACAUUUGGAACCGCAUGGUUCUAAAGUGAAAGAUGGUUUUGCUAUCACUUAUAGAUGGACCCGCGCCGUAUUAGCUAGUUGGUAAGGUAACGGCUUACCAAGGCGACGAUACGUAGCCGACGUGAGAGGGUGAUCGGCCACACGGGAACUGAGACACGGUCCAGACUCCUACGGGAGGCAGCAGUAGGGAAUCUGCCGCAAGGGGCGAAAGCCUGACGGAGCAACGCCGCGUGAGUGAUGAAGGGUUUCGGCUCGUAAAACUCUGUUAUUAGGGAAGAACAAAUGUGUAAGUAACUGUGCACGUCUUGACGGUACCUAAUCAGAAAGCCACGGCUAACUACGUGCCAGCAGCCGCCGUAA